rnacentral:rRNA from 1 species
GACGAACGCUGGCCGCGUGCUUAACACGUGCAAGUCGAACGGAAAGGCCCUGCUUUUGUGGGGUGCUCGAGUGGCGAACGGGUGAGUAACACGUGAGUAACCUGCCCUUGACUUUGGGAUAACUUCAGGAAACUGGGGCUAAUACCGGAUAGGAGCUCCUGCUGCAUGGUGGGGGUUGGAAAGUUUCGGCGGUUGGGGAUGGACUCGCGGCUUAUCAGCUUGUUGGUGGGGUAGUGGCUUACCAAGGCUUUGACGGGUAGCCGGCCUGAGAGGGUGACCGGCCACAUUGGGACUGAGAUACGGCCCAGACUCCUACGGGAGGCAGCAGUGGGGAAUAUUGCACAAUGGGCGGAAGCCUGAUGCAGCAACGCCGCGUGCGGGAUGACGGCCUUCGGGUUGUAAACCGCUUUCGCCUGUGACGAAGCGUGAGUGACGGUAAUGGGUAAAGAAGCACCGGCUAACUACGUG